GAUGAACGCUGGCGGCGUGCCUAAUACAUGCAAGUCGAGCGAACGGACGAGAAGCUUGCUUCUCUGAUGUUAGCGGCGGACGGGUGAGUAACACGUGGAUAACCUACCUAUAAUACUGGGAUAACUUCGGGAAACCGUAGCUAAUACCGGAUAAUAUUUUGAACCGCAUGGUUCAAAAGUGAAAGACGGUCUUGCUGUCACUUAUAGAUGGAUCCGCGUUGCAUUAGCUAGUUGGUAAGGUAACGGCUUACCAAGGCAACGAUGCAUAGCCGACCUGAGAGGGUGAUCGGCCACACUGGAACUGAGACACGGUCCAGACUCCUACGGGAGGCAGCAGUAGGGAAUCUUCCGCAAUGGGCGAAAGCCUGACGGAGCAACGCCGCGUGAGUGAUGAAGGUCUUCGGAUCGUAAAACUCUGUUAUUAGGGAAGAACAUAUGUGUAAGUAACUGUGCACAUCUUGACGGUACCUAAUCAGAAAGCCACGGCUAACUACGUG
rnacentral:rRNA from 1 species